rnacentral:rRNA from 1 species
AUGAACGCUGGCGGUAUGCUUAACACAUGCAAGUCGUACGCACCCCUUUUGGGGGUGAGUGGCGGACGGGUGAGUAACGCGUGAGAAUCUGCCUUCGGGAUUGGGACAACAGCUGGAAACGGCUGCUAAUACCAAAUAUGCACGAAUGUUAAAGGGGUAUAUCCCCGCCUGAAGAUGAGCUCGCGUCGGAUUAGCUAGUUGGUAGAGUAAGAGCCUACCAAGGCAAUGAUCCGUAGCUGGUCUGAGAGGAUGAUCAGCCACACUGGGACUGAGACACGGCCCAGACUCCUACGGGAGGCAGCAGUGGGGAAUUUUCCGCAAUGGGCGAAAGCCUGACGGAGCAAUACCGCGUGAGGGAGGAAGGCUCUUGGGUCGUAAACCUCUUUUCUCAGAGAAGAAAAAAAUGACGGUAUCUGAGGAAUAAGCAUCGGCUAACUCCGUGCCAGCAGCCGCGGUAAUACGGAGGAUGCAAGCGUUAUCCGGAAUGAUUGGGCGUAAAGCGUCCGCAGGUGGCAAUGUAAGUCUGCUGUUAAAGCGUCACGCUUAACGUGAUCAAAGCAGUGGAAACUAUAUCGCUAGAGUGUGGUAGGGGCAGAGGGAAUUAAGAGAGUAGCGGUGAAAAUGCGUAGAUACUCUUAAGAACACCCGUGGCGAAAGCGCUCUGCUAGGCCGCAACUGACACUCAUGGACGAAAGCUAGGGGAGCGAAUGGGAUUAGAUACCCCAGUAGUCCUAGCCGUAAACGAUGGAUACUAGGCGUUGAGAGUUUCGACCCUCUCAGUGCCGUAGCUAACGCGUUAAGUAUCCCGCCUGGGGAGUACGCACGCAAGUGUGAAACUCAGAGGAAUUGACGGGGACCCGCACAAGCGGUGGAGUAUGUGGUUUAAUUCGAUGCAACGCGAAGAACCUUACCAGGAUUUGACAUGUGGCGAAUCCCUCUGAAAGGAGGGAGUGCCUUCGGGAGCGCCAACACAGGUGGUGCAUGGCUGUCGUCAGCUCGUGUCGUGAGAUGUUGGGUUAAGUCCCGCAACGAGCGAAACCCUUGUCUUGAGUUGCCAGCAUUAAGUUGGGCACUCUCAAGAGACUGCCGGUGACAAACCGGAGGAAGGUGGGGAUGACGUCAAGUCAGCAUGCCCCUUACGUCCUGGGCUACACACGUACUACAAUGCUGUGGACAAAGGGCAGCAAGCGAGCGAUCGCAAGCCAAUCCCAUAAACCACGGCUCAGUUCAGAUCGCAGGCUGCAACUCGCCUGCGUGAAGGUGGAAUCGCUAGUAAUUCCAGAUCAGCAUUGCUGGAGUGAAUUCGUUCCCGGGUCUUGUACACACCGCCCGUCACACCAUGGAAGUCGGUUUUGCCCGAAGUCGUUAUUCCAACCCUAAAGGAGGGAAACGCCUAAGGCAGGGCUGGUGACUGGGGUG